AUUGAACGCUGGCGGCGUGCCUAAUACAUGCAAGUCGAACGAGUGGCGGACGGGUGAGUAACACGUGGGAACCUACCCAUCAGAGGGGGCUAACUACUGGAAACGGUAGCUAAUACCGCAUACCAUCAGAUUUGCCCAGAUGGGAUUAGCUAGUUGGUGUGGUAACGGCUCACCAAGGCGACGAUCCCUAGCUGGUCUGCGAGAGGGACCAGCCAAACUGGAACGAGGCCACGGCCCAGACUCCUACGGGAGGCAGCAGUGGGGAAUAUUGAACAAUGGGCGCAAGCCUGAUGCAGCCAUGCCGCGUGUAUGAAGAAGGCCUUCGGGUUGUAAAGUACUUUCAGCGGGGAGGCGUUACCCGCAGAAGAAGCACCGGCUAACUCCGUGCCAGUAGCCGCGGUAAUAC
rnacentral:rRNA from 1 species